AAAAAUUCGUGCCAUUGAGCAAGUUUCACAGGGCUGCCGCUGACUCGCUGCAGGACACAUAAAAUCUGAUCAAGUUCAGAGACGCGCUGAGUGCUUCAAGCGGCGCUUUUUAACUCCAAGCCUUUCACAUCCUUUCCCCCUCAAUCUGUCCCAGGAAGGAGCUCACAUUCUUUAUUUUAAGGGAUCUGGACCCCCCAAAAAAAAAGAAAAAAGAAAAAAAAAGAAAAAGAAAAAAAAAUCAAAUCAGUCCUUCAUUCUGCUCUCGCCCUCAUCCCAUCGCAUUCACUCUCAGAACAUUUCGUGGAGAAAGAGUUAUAGAUUGACAAGCUCCUGGCUAUCUUCACCCUCUAUGGCUCCUUCAUGAUGGCCCCCUAAUCUCUGCAACUGUGGUUCCAUGUAUGCAUUGCGAGGCGGCUGCGUAAUCAAGCCUGUGAACUCCACAUCUGACGGACGGAUUCCGUUUCUGAUCACAUCCCCCCCCAUUGAAGUCCAUCCAUUCGCGGAGCGUGGAUGUGUCGAUGCGCUGGAGCUCGCGUUCCUUGGUAUGUGGCUUUCAAAUGAAUACGCACUGCGUGGUUUUUCGGCUGUGUUGGAGCGUUUGUGGCGCCGCACGGCCAAGUCUCGCUGCUAAACUUCCACGAGAUCACCCCGGGGCCCAA